rnacentral:rRNA from 1 species
GAUGAACGCUGGCGGCGUGCCUAAUACAUGCCAGUCGAGCGAACGGACGAGAAGCUUGCUUCUCUGAUGUUAGCGGCGGACGGGUGAGUAACACGUGGAUAACCUACCUAUAAGACUGGGAUAACUUCGGGAAACCGUAGCUAAUACCGGAUAAUAUUUUGAACCGCAUGGUUCAAAAGUGAAAGACGGUCUUGCUGUCACUUAUAGAUGGAUCCGCGCUGCAUUAGCUAGUUGGUAAGGUAACGGCUUACCAAGGCAACGAUGCAUAGCCGACCUGAGAGGGUGAUCGGCCACACUGGAACUGAGACACGGUCCAGACUCCUACGGGAGGCAGCAGUAGGGAAUCUUCCGCAAUGGGCGAAAGCCUGACGGAGCAACGCCGCGUGAGUGAUGAAGGUCCUCGGAUCGUAAAACUCUGUUAUUAGGGAAGAACGUAUGUGUAAGUAACUGUGCACAUCUUGACGGUACCUAAUCAGAAAGCCACGGCUAACUACGUG